rnacentral:rRNA from 1 species
UACGUAGGGCGCAAGCGUUGUCCGGAAUUAUUGGGCGUAAAGAGCUCGUAGGCGGCUUGUCACGUCGGGUGUGAAAGCCCGGGGCUUAACCCCGGGUCUGCAUUCGAUACGGGCUGGCUAGAGUGUGGUAGGGGAGAUCGGAAUUCCUGGUGUAGCGGUGAAAUGCGCAGAUAUCAGGAGGAACACCGAUGGCGAAGGCAGGUCUCUGGGCAUUAACUGACGCUGAGGAGCGAAAGCAUGGGGAGCGAACAGG